rnacentral:rRNA from 1 species
GGUUAAUACCCUGUGUAGAUGACGGUACCGGAAUAAGAAGCACCGGCUAACUACGUGCCAGCAGCCGCGGUAAUACGUAGGGUGCGAGCGUUAAUCGGAAUUACUGGGCGUAAAGCGUGCGCAGGCGGUUUGUUAAGAUAGGCGUGAAAUCCCCGGGCUCAACCUGGGAACUGCGUUUAUGACUGGCAGGCUAGAGUAUGGCAGAGGGGGGUGGAAUUCCACGUGUAGCAGUGAAAUGCGUAGAGAUGUGGAGGAACACCGAUGGCGAAGGCAGCCCCCUGGGCCAAUACUGACGCUCGUGCACGAAAGCGUGGGUAGCAAACAGGAUUAGAUACCCUGGUAGUCCACGCCCUAAACGAUGUCAACUAGGUGUUGGGAGGGUAAAACCUUUUAGUGCCGUAGCUAACA